ensembl:lincRNA
CUGGGAUGUUCAUUCUUGUUGAGGAGGUUCCGAAACGCUUCAGACGGUGCACCGAAUCACCCAUAAGGACACGAUUCAUGUGGCGGUUCCUUUGCAGUUCCGUGCGGUGUAUGAGACGCGUCCGUUAAAAAACGUCACUGGAAUUCACCGGAAACGCUUUUUCCUCUCAAUUUAAACUCGUUUCCCAUUGGUACCCUGAACUUGUAUCUUUACCUCCACUGGCUGUCUUGAGGUGGUGACAGAAAUUCUCCAUGUAAAUGUGUACCGCUGCCUCGAGGUGGAGGAGGGUAUUACAAGUCUCUACCAUUUACAGGACAGUGUUCCUGUCCCCACGUGUUCCAGUGUAGUGAGGUGUUUUGAAUUAUAAGCCGAAGGUUCGACGGAGUAUAGAACAAUGUGUCCUGGUGCUGGGUACACGCGGUGUCACCUUCAAUAGCAAGCCUCCUGCUCCAUUUGUACACAUAUGAUGAUGACGCUCCAUCGUUAAUCUUGAACAACUUUCAAGCAUGGAUCAGGACACAAUCAGAAACAAACCCAAAGAAAGGACUCUGCCAUCCUGGAUGUUGAAGCCCAACAUUGAUCCACAACGGAGCAGGACCAGCAGGACGACUUCGGAUCAGAACAGCCGUGAGCUCAGGUGCAAGAAUCAGAAUUUAAAGCAUUCCAUCAGGAAUGUCAGGACUGUGCACUGCAUGAAUGUGGAGGAGUUGAUUACAGUGGCUCGUGAAGUUCUUGACCAGGUUAACAGUUCUGAAGACGUGAUUACAAAUGAAGAACCAAAGUUUCAAAAUGUGGAUGAAGAGAAAUUUCAGGAUAUUGGGCUUGAGGAGACUAUUUUAUACACAAACUACUGAUGGUAGGAGUGGCUCUUCGAUCAAGAAAUCCAAAUUUAAAUUUAUUGUUCUUACCUCAUUUGGCUAAAGUUUUCUCUCGCCGAUGUUGUUCUUGCCAACAGUUCGACUCGUUUGAUUAACAUGGGCUACGGAGAGCUCCAACCUCCAAACUAAGAAUACCACAACAGAAAGAUUGAUGUGCUUCUUUUAUUUUAUACGCCCG